rnacentral:rRNA from 1 species
UACGUAGGGUGCGAGCGUUGUCCGGAAUUACUGGGCGUAAAGAGCUCGUAGGUGGUUUGUCGCGUUGUUCGUGAAAACUCACAGCUCAACUGUGGGCGUGCGGGCGAUACGGGCAGACUAGAGUGCGGUAGGGGAGACUGGAAUUCCUGGUGUAGCGGUGGAAUGCGCAGAUAUCAGGAGGAACACCGAUGGCGAAGGCAGGUCUCUGGGCCGCAACUGACGCUGAGGAGCGAAAGCAUGGGGAGCGAACAGG